rnacentral:tRNA from 1 species
GCGGGUGUGGUGUAGCCUGGUAUCACACAAGCUUGCCAAGCUUGUUACUCGGGUUCAAAUCCCGACAUCCGCA